rnacentral:rRNA from 1 species
AGCGAACGCUGGCGGCAGGCUUAACACAUGCAAGUCGAGCGGGCACUUUCGGGUGUCAGCGGCGGACGGGUGCGUAACGCGUGGGAACGUGCCCUCUGGUUCGGAAUAACUCAGGGAAACUUGAGCUAAUACCGGAUACGCCCUUUUGGGGAAAGGCUUGCUGCCGGAGGAUCGGCCCGCGACUGAUUAGCUAGUUGGUGAGGUAACGGCUCACCAAGGCGACGAUCAGUAGCUGGUCUGAGAGGAUGAUCAGCCACACUGGGACUGAGACACGGCCCAGACUCCUACGGGAGGCAGCAGUGGGGAAUAUUGGACAAUGGGCGCAAGCCUGAUCCAGCCAUGCCGCGUGAGUGAUCAAGGCCUUAGGGUUGUAAAGCUCUUUUAUCCGGGACGAUAAUGACGGUACCGGAGGAAUAAGCCCCGGCUAACUUCGUG